rnacentral:lncRNA from 1 species
GAGUUUUAAAUUGCAGGUCAGUGCUUCCCUUGCAUUUGUUAUUCAUGAAUCAGCAAAUCCUUACAUCGGUAAGUAUGCUUCUUGAUUUGGAUUACCAAAUUGAGAGUUUGUAUUUUUGCAAUGCAGCAUUAUCAACAUAAGUCUGGUUAUUGACUUCAUGGUAGCAUUUGGGUGGCAAUUUUGUAAUUUAUGAUCAUAACUUUAUUUUAAUGUAGUACUGAACAUUGUGUUCAUAAUUCAUCCUAUGUUCCAUUUUCUCCAGUAGCUAAAGUUGCAUCACAAGGAGCUGAAGCUAAAUGU